GCAAAUGACAUCCACAAACCUCUUCUGCUGUAUACCUGGAUGAAAGCAAGGCUAGCUGUGUGUCUAUGGCACCAAGGACUGAAAGACUGUAAGAAGUAAGAACGCUUUGGUAAUUCUGUUUCUCAAGCCUGCACAUCACGAGCAAACAAGUAUGCUUAUGGGAUAAACAGUAGGCUGUUUAUCAGAAAGCUACCAGUCCCCUGUGAGAAGCUGGCUUUCCUCCAAAAUGUAGAAGGUGUUUA
rnacentral:lncRNA from 1 species